CGUGCCAGCAGCCGCGGUAAUACGGAAGGUCCGGGCGUUAUCCGGAUUUAUUGGGUUUAAAGGGAGCGCAGGCCGUCCUUUAAGCGUGCUGUGAAAUGCCGCGGCUCAACCGUGGCACUGCAGCGCGAACUGGAGGACUUGAGUACGCACGAGGUAGGCGGAAUUCGUGGUGUAGCGGUGAAAUGCUUAGAUAUCACGAAGAACUCCGAUCUUGAAGGCAGCUUACCGGAGCGCAACUGACGCUGAGGCUCGAAAGCGCGGGUAUCGAACAGGCUUAGAUACCCUGGUAGUCCGCGCGGUAAACGAUGGAUGCCCGCCGUUGGGAUAUUGAUUUCAGCGGCCAAGCGAAAGCGUUAAGCAUCCCACCUGGGGAGUACGCCGGCAACGGUGAAACUCAAAGGAAUUGACGGGGGCCCGCACAAGCGGAGGAACAUGUGGUUUAAUUCGAUGAUACGCGAGGAACCUUACCCGGGCUUGAAUUGCAGGAGAACGAUCCAGAGAUGGUGAGGCCCUUCGGGGCUCCUGUGAAGGUGCUGCAUGGUUGUCGUCAGCUCGUGCCGUGAGGUGUCGGCUCAAGUGCCAUAACGAGCGCAACCCCUGUCCAUAGUUGCCAUCAGGUUUAGCUGGGCACUCUGUGGAGACUGCCGCCGUAAGGUGUGAGGAAGGUGGGGAUGACGUCAAAUCAGCACGGCCCUUACGUCCGGGGCUACACACGUGUUACAAUGGGGCAUACAGCGAGUUGGAUGUGCGCAAGUACGUCCGGAUCAAUAAAGUGCCUCUCAGUUCGGACUGGGGUCUGCAACCCGACCCCACGAAGCUGGAUUCGCUAGUAAUCGCGCAUCAGCCAUGGCGCGGUGAAUACGUUCCCGGGCCUUGCACA
rnacentral:rRNA from 1 species